UAGCAAACUAACAUGACUCACAUUUUGGGACUGACAAGAAUUGAAAUUGAGGACAUAAUUUCUUUAAGGUAGCCAAGGAUGGAUAGCCCAAUCAACAGUGGACUUCAACAGGAGUUAAGGUAUUAGAGCAAGCGAGAGUUCGCAGUACAUGAUUAUCCACGAUGUAGAGGCCACUAGAGUCAUGUUCCUUACCAAUAAUCUGUUUCGUUGAAAGAUCCUGAAACAGAAAAUAACCUGAAAAAAAAAAAAAAGAAAUCCAACAAUCUAAGGUGCGAGUAAGUUUACUAAUAGAAAGCAAGUUAAAAGAGAAUUUAGGUAAACAUAAAAGAAAUGAUAAAGAAAUAGCUGAAGUUUGGUUUGCGGUGAGAGUUGGAACCAUCAUCUAAAGUAACUGUAGAAGGGUGAGAUGUGACCGAAAAGCAAUUAAAAAACUAGAAUUACUUGUCAUAUGAUUUGUAGCAUCAGAAUCAAUGACCCAUUUGGAUG
rnacentral:misc_RNA from 1 species